GGGUCAGUAGGUUGGUCGUGCCACCGGUACGUACUGGUCUCACUGAUUCCUCCUUCCUGAAGAACCGUAAUGCCAUUAAUUUGGUGCUGCGGGGAAACAGGACUGUUACUUUGAAAAAAUUAGAGUGUUUAAAGCAAGCUAACGCUUGAAUACAUUAGCAUGGAAUAAUGAAAUAGGACGAUCGAUCCUAUUUUGUUGGUUUCUAGGAUUGACGUA
rnacentral:rRNA from 1 species